ensembl:miRNA microRNA 135a-1
UGCCGUCUUGUAUGGCUUUUUAUUCCUAUGUGAUUAUACAUCCCACUUCAUAUAGGGAUUGAAGCCGUGCA